AUCGAACGCUGGCGGCAGGCCUAACACAUGCAAGUCGAGCGAGCGGCGGACGGGUGCGUAAUGUAUGGGGACUGCCCGAUAGAGGGGGAUAACUACUGGAUACGGUAGCUAAUACCGCAUUCUAUCCGAUUACCCAGAUGGGAUUAGCUAGUGGGUGGGGUCAUGGCUCACCUAGGCGACGAUCCCCAGCUGGCCUGAGAGGAUGAUCAGCCACACUGGGACUGAGACACGGCCCAGAGUCCUACGGAGGCAGCAGUGGGGAAUAUUGCGCAAUGGGCGAAAGCCUGAUGCAGCAAUGCCGCGUGUAUGAAGAAGGCUGUAGGAUUGUAAAGGACUUUCAGUCGGGAGGCGUUACCGACAGAGGAAGCACCGGCUAACUCCGUGCCAGCAGCCGCGGUAAUUC
rnacentral:rRNA from 1 species